AUACUUACCUGGCGUAGGGGAUACCGUGAUCAUGCAAGCGGUUUCCCCAGGGCGAGGCUGCUCCAUUGCACUGCGGAGUGGUUGACCCUUGCGUGUGAUUAUUUUUAUUUUAUCAAUAAAAAAUCAUAAUAAAAAAGGCGUACCCAAAUAAUUAUUUCCUUUAUACCUCGAAUAGAACUUAAAAUUAAUAUUUUUAUAAUAAGGAACUUCGUUCCUAUC
rnacentral:snRNA from 1 species